UGCAGCCUUGUCAAAUUCAGUGUUUCCUCCUCAGUGGACCACACUGGCCAAAAGGGCUGCAACAGUGAAUUUGUAGUCCAUAUGCCCUAGUUUCCUGUACAGUGGAUACUGGGGAUGGUAGGGCUAUGUACAGAU